rnacentral:rRNA from 1 species
CGUAGUCAACCUGCCUUACCGUCCGGGAUAACUAGCCGAAAGGUUAGCUAAUACCUGAUACGAUCGUUGAGCGGCAUCGCACGACGAUGAAAGCAGCAAUGCGCGGUUAGAGGGGGCUGCGGCCCAUUAGCUAGUUGGUGAGGUAAUGGCCCACCAAGGCAACGAUGGGUAGCUGGUCUGAGAGGACGACCAGCCACACUGGGACUGAGACACGGCCCAG